GCGGCGGCAGCGUCCAGAAGCGGGAGCCGCAGCCGAGCGAGCCGUUGCCGAGUGGCUAGCGGCGCCAUGGCGUGCGCGGGGCUGCUCACCGUGUGCCUGAUCCGGCCGCCCGCGCCCGAGCCCCGGCGGCCCCCCGCGCCCCUGCCUGCCGCCGCCGGGCCCGCCGGACACGCGCUCUUCCAGGACGUUUUCCGCAGAGCAGACAAGAAUGAUGAUGGUAAGCUCUCAUUUGAGGAAUUCCAGAAUUACUUUGCUGAUGGGGUUCUCAGCCCUGGGGAGCUGCGGGAGCUGUUCAACGGCAUUGAUGGGCACUCCACCAACAAUUUGGAAACAGAGAGACUGUGUGACUAUUUCUCAGAACACCUGGGUGUCUACCGGCCCGUGCUGGCUGCCCUGGAGUCGCUGAACUGUGCAGUGCUCACUGCCAUGGACACCACCAAGCUGGAGUAUGAGCGGGCCUCCAAGGUGGACCAGUUUGUGACGCGCUUCCUCCUGCGGGAGACGGUGAGCCAGCUACAAGCCCUGCAGAGCUCGUUGGAAGGGGCAUCAGAUACCCUGGAGGCCCAGGCCCGGGGCCCACGGUCAGACGAAGACAGUGUGGGGGUGCAGAGCAGGCCCCACGGCAGUCGGCGGGUAGGGCGCAGGGCCCUGCGGAGCAUCGGUCGGUCACCCACCUGGUCUCCUGGCUCCUCCGCCUCAGACACAGGGCAGAGCUCGGGAGCCGAGAUGCGGUGGCGGCUCCAGGUCAACCGUCUCCAGGAGCUCAUUGACCAGCUCGAGUGUAAGGCCCCCAGGCUGGAACCUCUGCACGAAGAGGAGCUUACCAAGGGGCCUGACUCGGUGGCCUCUCUUGCUAGCACAUCCUCGUGGCCCAGAGGGAGGUGCAGGUGGCGGAGGAAGCCCUGCAGGAUUUCCACCGUGCCCUGUGCUGCUACGUGGACUUCACAGGGGCCCAGAGCCAUUGCCUGCAUGUGUCUGCCCAGAAGAUGCUAGACAAUGCCUCUUUCACCCUGUAUGAGUUCUGGCAGGAUGAGGCCUCCUGGAGAAGGCACCAGCAUUCUGCCUGUAGUAAGGCCUUCCAGCGCAUCCUCAUUGACUACCUUCGGGCUCCGGACACCCUCACCACUGUGUUCUUCCCAGCCUCCUGGUGGAUUAUGAAUAAUAACUGAGCCUGACCUGCAUAAGCCAAGGCCCUGGGGCCCUACCUGCCUCAUUCUGGAGCUUCUGGACUGGUCAACUCAGCACCAAGACCAAGGACGUGGCCACUCUUAGACCUGGGGCUGGGCUCUCAGAGGUGCCCCCCGCCCCCCCUCCCCCCGACCCAGCCGGUGGAGAGUCCCUCAGCCCAGGGAUCAGGGACUGGGCUGCUUGCUUUCUGUUUAUCAGUGUAUUCUAUUUGAAUCUUUAGCCUCUGAGGCACUCUGGCCUCUGCCUGGCUCAGGAGGCUUGGAUUCUGGUCCCCUUCUGUCCCAGCCUUGUUGUGGGACACAGAGCAGGUCGCUUCCCUCUCUGGGUGGGCCUUGGGCUGUCUGGCUGCCUAGUGGGUACCCUGCUUUCUUCCUGCUGCCUUGGGGCCAGGCUUCUGCUCUUCCUCAACCAGCCGCAGAACCAGGGCUGAUGCUCAGGGACACCACCCCCCCACCAAACCUCGACCCCUGAGGCUGGGCCGGAUCCGUCUGCAGUGUGGGGUAAGGACCUGGGUGUCCCCAUCACCCUCCUGGGCUGGCAGGCUCCCAACUCUUCCAGCACCUUCCGCUGCACCAGAGCCUUCUGCAGGAUCCUGGUUGGUUUGCAUGUCAUUUGCAUAUCAUUUGCAUGCUCAUGCCCACCCGUACUCAGGGCACUAUGGGAAGUCCCAAGGUGACCUUGCCAAGUAGCAAUAAUUUGGGCCCAGUGUCACCUGCUCCCCCUGAGAUACCUCUGAGCCCCAGCCCAGGACCCCAGCCCAAAGGCAAUAAAGGAAGUGGUCACCUCUGGUGGUGUGUCCUCUCUCUCCCUCGGCAGGAAGGCCAGGCUUUGGGGUUGGUUUGUAUAUCACACCAGCCACUCAGGGCUGGCAGCCUUUC